rnacentral:lncRNA from 1 species
UAUUAUUAUUAUUACUAUUGUUAUUAUGUGCUUAUAUCACAGAAUGCUUUCAUUAUGAAAAUAAUUUAUCUUCUUGAGUCUUCCUGAAGAGUAAUUCAUCGAUUAUUGUAUAUAUCAGAAAUCAAAGAAAUUCCAAAUGGGAAAGAGAAAGUGUAAAGAAUGAAUGGAAGAAAGGAAGGAAUAAUACAUAUUCUUUGAGAGAAAAAGGAAUUGUGUUAAUUUUGAACUAUUAAGUAAAAUUAAAAUCUCUUUAAAAUUAGUAAAGAAUUAAAAAGAAUAUUUCAACAUGCCUUCAAUGACACAACGAAGAGAGUUAAACAGGGUGCACUUGAUUUUCAUUAUGUAUUAAAAAUUUAUUAUUAUUAUUACUAUUAUUAUUAUAAUUAUUAUUAUUUAGAGUACGUAAGAAAUAAAUAAAAAUUUCGUUCAUGCUAGUGAUCAGUCGAAUGUAUGUUAAGAGUGAAGUAUGUAUGCUUUUAGAAUGGUUAAUAAUUCAAAGCAGUCACAAGAUUUUAUACUAUUAUAUAAAUUCGCAUAGUGUAUGAUAAAAGGAGUGAAUAAGGAAUGGCACUAAAGUAUUGUAUAAGUGAGUGAAAGUAUUCAUAAAUUGACAUAUUUGAAUGUAUGUACAGAAGUUUAGAUUUAACAGUUAGAUAGUUACGAUGAUGAUGUAAGGUAUAUCAGUUUAUCAAUAUAAAUAAUAAUGCAAAGUUAAAUAAGUCCUUUUUUGCGCUUAAGUAAAGGAAAAAAAAGUAAACUAAUUUGCGUUGUACUUAAUAUUAUUUUGCCAAGAAAAGAAGAAAACUGCAAAGUUCUAAUUUGAAAUACUUUGUAUGAUUAAUAUAAGUAAUUAAGAAAAUUUUGUUAAAGAUCCAUCAUUGUUUGGUCAAUUAGAAAUUUUCAAUUUUUUUCCCUAGCUUUGUAUAAAGUAAGUUAUGUAAAGUAAACAUAUAAAACUAUAUAUAUAGAUUUAGAGAGAGAGAGAGAGAGAGAAGGGGAAAAGAAGAAAAAAGAUUAUUAAAUAAGUUAUGAAAAUCUUCUCAGGCCAAACCCAGAAGAUUUAUUAAAAAAAAAGAUAAUUGAUAUUUAUUGAGAACUGAUAAGAAGAAAUAUCGAGAAGAAUAUGUAAUCACAUAGUAUUACUGUAAAGAAAAUAAGAAAUAAAAUUGAGUACUAAAAGGAA